rnacentral:rRNA from 1 species
CCUACGGGAGGCAGCAGUGAGGAAUAUUGGUCAAUGGACGAGAGUCUGAACCAGCCAAGUAGCGUGAAGGAUGACUGCCCUAUGGGUUGUAAACUUCUUUUAUAUGGGAAUAAAAUGUUCCACGUGUGGGAUUUUGUAUGUACCAUAUGAAUAAGGAUCGGCUAACUCAGUGCCAGCAGCCGCGGUAAUACGGAGGAUCCGAGCGUUAUCCGGAUUUAGUGGGUUUAAAGGGAGCGUAGGUGGAUUGUUAAGGCAGUUGUGAAAGUUUGCGGCUCAACCGUAAAAUUGCAGUUGAAACUGGCAGUCUUGAGUACAGUAGAGGUGGGCGGAAUUCGUGGUGUAGCGGUGAAAUGCUUAGAUAUCACGAAGAACUCCGAUUGCGAAGGCAGCUCACUGGACUGCAACUGACACUGAGGCUCGAAAGUGUGGGUAUCAAACAGGAUUAGAUACCCUUGUAGUC